UACCCAGACUCCUACGGGAGGCAGCAGUCGGGAAUAUUGCGCAAUGGAGGAAACUCUGACGCAGUGACGCCGCGUAUAGGAAGAAGGUUUUCGGAUUGUAAACUAUUGUCAUUAGGGAAGAAAAAAGACAGUACCUAAGGAGGAAGCUCCGGCUAACUACGUGCCAGCAGCCGCGGUAAUACGUAGGGAGCGAGCGUUAUCCGGAAUUAUUGGGUGUAAAGGGUGCGUAGACGGGAAAAUAAGUUAGUUGUGAAAUCCCUCGGCUCAACUGAGGAACUGCAGCUAAAACUGUAUUUCUUGAGUGCAGGAGAGGAAAGUGGAAUUCCUAGUGUAGCGGUGAAAUGCGUAGAUAUUAGGAGGAACACCAGUGGCGAAGGCGACUUUCUGGACUGUAACUGACGUUGAGGCACGAAAGUGUGGGGAGCAAACAGGAUUAGAUACCCCUGUA
rnacentral:rRNA from 1 species